rnacentral:tRNA from 1 species
AGAGUUUAAAAGUCGGGGACUCAAAAUCCCCCGCCGCAAGGCGUGCCGGUUCGAUUCCGGCCCCGGGCACCA